AUCUGUGCAAUGCAUCUCAAAGACACUUAACACCAGCAUCACCUUCCUUUUUCUACGAGAUAUAUAUAUUCCAUUGGGUAUCUUUAGUUCUAUGUACGCUUUGGGUGUUGUAACACAACGAUAUGGCCCUUUCCAGAGAGACCCCGAGGCAAUGUAGACCCAACAAAACAGAGUUUGCAGAGCAGAGUGAGAAUUUCACUCUGAGCUGGCGGGAAAAAAAAUUACAGGAGAAAAGUAACACUCUGGCAUGGAGUAAACUCUGUACAUUGCAAAGGAUCCUCUCUGUGUUGUUAAUCAAGAAGUUGAUGCUCUCUGCACGUAGACGGGUGUAUAGUGUUUUCGCCAGAAGAGGGGAACUUUAGAGGAAAUGUGUAAAGCAGUAUAGUAUCUCCAGUGUUCUCGCACACGUGUAAAACAAGUGAAUCUCUGAAUGAUGCUACAGUACCAAUGGCGAUUUAGGCUAGGUUUAUGCAUCUCAGCAUCCAUUAGAACUGACCACAUGUUUUCUAGUUUCUACGUCAUCGACGAGAGGACAUGAAAAAAAAAGUUUGGCGAAUAGGAAUCAUCGAAUCAGCAGGAUUAAAUCUACACAUGUAUGGAUAGCCUAAUAAGGUCAUUUUCUCUGUACGACUUUUUUUUUUUUUUUUGAGCUUGGUGAACACGAGCAUGUGAUCGAAAAGCUAAUCAGCCAAAUGUUUCUACCAUCCAAUUGGCAUCUGUUCAACGCAAUUUUUCGACAUCAGAAGAACCCGUUGAACCGUCAAUUCACAUAUAGAGUUAGUUCAGAAGGAUUGCGGUCGUUGUUGCGAAAAAACCCUGUGAUCAUGACAGCAUGCCGAUUUGUUUGUUUUUAACUUACAAAGUCAAUGGAGUGUUGGGUUCCGUGACGGGCUCCGAUGUAACGACCACGAGCGACGAUGGGAAGAGGAGCAUUAGAAAAGCGAGUGGAAACAGUAGCUGAGAUGGUCGAUGAACGAAACUAGUAGAUGAAUCCAGAAAGAGGAGUCGUCCUUUCAUCCUCUUUGAUGAAGCAAAACGGCAACACAACGAAACAAAUUCUCUUCGAAAGAAUUUUGUCGUAAAAUCUUAUUAUAAAAAGAAACGUGUAAGAGAGAAAGUCAGCGCUUGUAAAAUCUAUAAGAUUACAAGCUGAUUUGCUGAUAGUCUAUCAAUACGUGAGACAGCCUGCAAGUGGAGCACAUCUUUUGUUAUGGAUUUCAUAGUCUUCUAGGAAAAAAAGGGUAGGAUCAAGGAAGAAGAAAGUUGUAUGACUAGCAUAGAAGGGAUACCAGAUAUGUAGAUGAGCAUACAGACCAGCCAAUUGGUGCUGGUGGUAGAGGACGAAACCUUUGCCAUAGAGCGGUGACUCUUGUGGAACAUAUUGAGAACAUAUCGACCGGAGUAGUAUGGGCCACUGUCGCUUCUUUCUUUCUUUAUACUCUUUUAUAUAUAUAUAUAUAUAUCUCUCUAUUCUUAGACUUAUAAUGCACUUGAAAAUAUAGACAGCAGCUUUUGGCUCAAAACUCUUGUAUAACUAGGCUCCGCCCGGCAGUCGAUAUCAAGACGAAUUGCAGCUAUCACUUGUCGCAGCAUCUAAAUCACACACAACACGCGUCCGUCUCUGUUUAAUACUGUGUUAAGGAUGGAUAAUAACCAAUCGGAUUCGAACGUUGCAUCACGUUUUAUAGACUGCUGAUCUCUCUGUUUAUAGUAAAGCAAUGAUUUUUGUCUUUGAACGUUAGCAAAAGUAUACCCAAUAACCCCUAUAUAAGCCGCAGGGGAGGGAUUGUCCGAGAUAUAAAACAAACGAAAUAAUCGGAGGGAGGGGGGAAAUGUCCACGGGAGAAUUGCAUCGGGACGAACUUGGUCGGUUAAUAACAGCGAAAGAAGUUGACUAAAUGUGUCGAUUCGAUCUAUGGUGCUAUGGAGACACUCCGCGUAGAACUUAAGACGUUAAUACGAAGUGAUGGAAGAGGGAAGAGAAAUCGGACCCGGAUCUCCCUUCCAAAAAAAAAAAGGGGGGGACGUCUCAUUCGAUCAAGAAGAAAGAACAGUUUUGUUUGUUACGUGGAUGCGUGUGUCUUUCCACGAAUAAAAGAGAAUUUCAGACAUUCGUAGAAAUAGUUUGGCUGUUCGUUUGACAAAACAAAGUUGUUUCAAACAGAACACGAAAUAAAAAGGAAAAUCUA
rnacentral:lncRNA from 1 species